CAAGUCGAGCGAAUCGAUGGGAGCUUGCUCCCUGAGAUUAGCGGCGGACGGGUGAGUAACACGUGGAUAACCUGCCUGUAAGAUUGGGAUAACUCCGGGAGACCGGAGCUAAUACCGGAUAAUAUUUUGAACCGCAUGGUUCGAAAUUGAAAGAUGGCGUCUAGCUAUCACUUACAGAUGGACCCGCGGCGCAUUAGCUAGUUGGUGAGGUAACGGCUCACCAAGGCAACGAUGCGUAGCCGACCUGAGAGGGUGAUCGGCCACACUGGGACUGAGACACGGCCCAGACUCCUACGGGAGGCAGCAGUAGGGAAUCUUCCGCAAUGGACGAAAGUCUGACGGAGCAACGCCGCGUGAACGAUGAAGGCCUUCGGGUCGUAAAGUUCUGUUGUUAGGGAAGAAUAAGUACCAGAGUAACUGCUGGUACCUUGACGGUACCUAACCAGAAAGCCACGGCUAACUACGUGCCAGCAGCCGCGGUAAUACGUAGGUGGCAAGCGUUGUCCGGAAUUAUUGGGCGUAAAGCGCGCGCAGGUGGUUUCUUAAGUCUGAUGUGAAAGCCCACGGCUCAACCGUGGAGGGUCAUUGGAAACUGGGGAACUUGAGUGCAGAAGAGGAAAGUGGAAUUCCAAGUGUAGCGGUGAAAUGCGUAGAGAUUUGGAGGAACACCAGUGGCGAAGGCGACUUUCUGGUCUGUAACUGACACUGAGGCGCGAAAGCGUGGGGAGCGAACAGGAUUAGAUACCCUGGUAGUCCACGCCGUAAACGAUGAGUGCUAAGUGUUAGAGGGUUUUCCGCCCUUUAGUGCUGCAGCUAACGCAUUAAGCACUCCGCCUGGGGGAGUACGGUCGCAAGACUGAAACUCAAAGGAAUUGACGGGGGCCCCC
rnacentral:rRNA from 1 species